rnacentral:rRNA from 1 species
UACGUAGGGUGCAAGCGUUGUCCGGAAUUAUUGGGCGUAAAGAGCUCGUAGGCGGUUUGUCGCGUCGGCUGUGAAAACCCGGGGCUCAACCCCGGGCCUGCAGUCGAUACGGGCAAACUAGAGUGUGGUAGGGGAGACUGGAAUUCCUGGUGUAGCGGUGAAAUGCGCAGAUAUCAGGAGGAACACCGGUGGCGAAGGCGGUUCUCUGGGCAUGUUCUGACGCUGAGGAGCGAAAGUGUGGGGAGCGAACAGG